UACGGAGGGUGCAAGCGUUAUCCGGAUUCACUGGGUUUAAAGGGUGUGUAGGCGGGUAUUUAAGUCAGUGGUGAAAUCUCCAGGCUCAACCUGGAAACUGCCAUUGAUACUAUUUAUCUUGAAUAUUGUUGAGGUAGGCGGAAUAUGUCAUGUAGCGGUGAAAUGCUUAGAUAUGACAUAGAACACCGAUUGCGAAGGCAGCUUGCUAAACAAUUAUUGACGCUGAGGCACGAAGGCGUGGGGAUCAAACAGG
rnacentral:rRNA from 1 species